GAGGGAACCCGAUCGUCGGAGCCAGCCAUGGGGUGAUGUCCGCCGCCCUCUUCACCCCGCCACCGCCGCCUCCGAUCUGCCGCCGUUGGCUCCAGGUCGCGGCCUCCGCCUCCCGCGCCAGCAAAUGCUUCCGAUGCGAUCGUUCGAUUCGACAAGAACAGGGAUGGCGACAAAGCAUUAAUCGAGGGCAAAAUCUCAAAUCUGCUGCAGUACUUCCUUGGGAAAUCAUUCGAUCGAAUCCAGAUUCCGAUGAGGAAAAAAGAGUACUGUACUUGAAGGUGGCUUGCGAUGUUGUGGCGAGUGAGGCAGUCGAUCCCCAUGAGUUCUAAAAUCCUCGAGGGCAAGGCCUUGUCGAUCCCCAGCUGCUCCACCGCCUGAACGAACCUCCGGUGAAGCUCCGGCGUCCAGUCCACCUACCACAGAAGGAAAUAAGAUGCACCCGUGAAGAGAGAGAGAGAAAGA